rnacentral:rRNA from 1 species
UACGUAGGGUGCGAGCGUUGUCCGGAAUUAUUGGGCGUAAAGAGCUCGUAGGCGGUGUGUCGCGUCGGCCGUGAAAACCUGGGGCUCAACUCUGGGCGUGCGGUCGAUACGGGCAUCACUUGAGUUCGGCAGGGGAGACUGGAAUUCCUGGUGUAGCGGUGAAAUGCGCAGAUAUCAGGAGGGAACACCGGUGGCGAAGGCGGGUCUCUGGGCCGAUACUGACGCUGGAGGAG